GUGACGAAGCGACGCCGCGUGCGGGAAGAAGGCCUUCGGGUUGUAAACCGCUGUCGGGAGUUAAGAAAUGCAAGGGUGUUAACAGCAUCCUUGCUUGACUAAGGCUCCGGAGGAAGCCACGGCUAACUCUGUGCCAGCAGCCGCGGUAAUACAGAGGCGGCAAGCGUUGUUCGGAAUUAUUGGGCGUAAAGAGCACGUAGGCGGCUGUGUAAGUCGGUUGUGAAAGCCUUCCGCUCAACGGGAGAACGGCAUCCGAUACUGCAUGGCUUGAGUGCGGGAGGGGAGAGUGGAACUUCUGGUGGAGCGGUGAAAUGCGUAGAUAUCAGAAGGAACACCGGCGGCGAAGGCGACUCUCUGGCCCGUAACUGACGCUGAGUGUGCGAAAGCUAGGGGAGCAAACGGGAUUAGAUACCCCGGUAGUCCUAGCCGUAAACGAUGGGCACUAAGUAGAGGGGUUUU
rnacentral:rRNA from 1 species